UACGGAGGAUCCAAGCGUUAUCCGGAUUCACUGGGUUUAAAGGGUGCGUAGGUGGAAUGACAAGUCAGUGGUGAAAACCUGCAGCUUAACUGUAGAACUGCCAUUGAUACUGUUAUUCUUGAGUACAUUUGAUGUGAGUGGAAUGUGUCGUGUAGCGGUGAAAUGCUUAGAUAUGACACAGAACACCAAUUGCGAAGGCAGCUCACAAAACUGUAAACUGACACUGAGGCACGAAAGCGUGGGGAUCAAACAGG
rnacentral:rRNA from 1 species